CAACCCCUCAAGCGCGGCUUGUGUGUUGGGCCUGCGUCCCCCGUGGACGGGCCUGAAAUGCAGUGGCAGCACCGAGAUAUGGUGUCUGAGUGUAUGGGCUUCUGAUCAUCACUCCAUAGACCCGAUCGGCGCUGGUUCUCAAAACCCCAUGGUGCCCUGUGUGCCAUUCUCG
rnacentral:misc_RNA from 1 species